GAUGCCUGAUCAGAGCAUCAAGAUCAUCAAUGUGGUAGCAUCUUAUAGAUAUAGCUCCUCAUCCUUGGAUCUAAAUCUCUUCUUCCAGAUCUUGAAGAAGAAGAUCGUUGCGCGAACUCUUUCACAGAUCCGACAGGAUCUAAACCAGAUCAGCAUGAAGAGAAGAAGAACUCUUCUUCUUUUCUUCUUCUCUCUCUUUUUCUCUCUUAGAUCUAAUCACCAUCAGAUCUGGGCAUUGGACAAAGGGGAUA
rnacentral:lncRNA from 1 species